GUGGAGCAUGUGGCUUAAUUUGACUCAACGCGGGGAAUCUUACUAGGUCCGGACCGAGUCUAUGAACGUCGUACCGUUGGGUGCUACGUGAUUACUGGAUGAGUGGUGCAUGGCCGUUCUUAGUUCGUGGUGUUAAUUGUCUACUUAAUUGUUUCGAUUUUUAGUCUCGCGGCUAAGAACUAUUUAACGAACGAGAUCGAGACCCGUCGAUACGGGGAUCGCGUAACACUCAACGGUACGAUCGAAAGACUCGGCAAUAACAGGUCUGUGAUGCCCUCAGAUGUUCUAGGCUGCACACGUGCUACAUUGUGGUUUCGUUUGUAUGCGUAGAAUAUCUUAUGUAUCUAAGAUCCCCCGCAUCGAGUCAUAACCGGUCACACGGUUGGACUCACCGAUUGUUUAUAAUUAUUCGGUAUACUAACUAGGAAUGCCUCGUACCGGGUCGGUUCAACGAGACCCCCUGGAAUCCGUCCCUGCCCUUUGUACACACCGCCCGUCGCUCUUACCGAUGGCCGUGGUUAUUAGUUUAGUUGAGUCUCUCGCGAGGUGAAUCUAUGCGCGUAACCACGACUAAAGGAAAGAGAAGUCGUAACAAGGCAUCG
rnacentral:rRNA from 1 species